ensembl:lncRNA
AUUCUCAACCCAUCUGGAAGCAAUCAGGAUGAGAGCAAGUCCAACACGUUCAGUCCUCCAGUACCAAGGAACACAGAGUCCUUGCCUUACCCCCCCCCCCCCCCCCCCCCCCACACACACACACACAUUCUAAUUCAGCUAUAUAAAGUUCUUAUUUUUAUCAUAACAAAAAAUAACUGUAACUGAAACCUUUAUUCACAUACCUAACACAAACUGUAACUUCAACCAUAGCCCUAACACAAAAAGGUAAAUGCCUUUUAGGGACACUAAUAACAUAUUUUUUCAGGUUUAAUCAAAGGUCAGCUUUGUACCCACUAAUACAUUAAAAUAAAUUAUCAUGCAGUGCUCUCUGCAAGUACUGGGACAGUGAAAUGUCUACCACCUCUCUUUCAAGAUUAAGGACUUAGUUGUUAGUUAGGCUGAAUCAUUAAUGUUUCAAUGGUCCAUCAUCUCCCAGAACGUAAGGUUGAAGGACAUGGUCACAGUGGUCACUAAGAAGUCACAUCUCCCAGAAUAUCAGGUAGAAGUACAUGGUCACAGUGGUCACUAAGAAGUCACAUCUCCCAGAACAUCAGGUAGAAGUACAUGGUCACAGUGGUCACAUCUCCCAGAAUAUCAGGUAGAAGUACAUGGUCACAGUGGUCACUAAGAAGUCAAAUCUCCCAGAACAUCAGGUAGAAGUACAUGGUCACAGUGGUCACUAAGAUGGGACACCAGUGGAUCUUGCAGCAGCUGAAAAAACAAAACAUGUCCCAAUCAAUCGUAAUUUAUCAGUCAUAGUCAAACUUCUUAUUUCUAUAUCAACAAACAUAUAUAGAUAUAUUUUUUUUUACCAUACUAGCAAUUUUAACUUAAUUAUGACCUGGUAC